rnacentral:rRNA from 1 species
UUGGAGGGCAAGUCUGGUGCCAGCAGCCGCGGUAAUUCCAGCUCCAAUAGCGUAUAUUAAAGUUGUUGCAGUUAAAAAGCUCGUAGUUGAAUUUCGGGAUCAAUUUAUUGGUCGUGCUAUUGUACGUACUGGUAUUAUUGAUUCCUACCUUCUGACGAACCAUGAUGUCAUUAAUUUGGUGUCAUGGGGAAUCAGGACUGUUACUUUGAAAAAAUUAGAGUGUUUAAAGCAGGCUCACGCUUGAAUACAUUAGCAUGGAAUAACGAAAUAGGACGUUUGAUUCUAUUUUGUUGGUUUCUAGGAUCGACGUAAUGAUUAAUAGGGAUAGUCGGGGGCAUUAGUAUUCAAUUGUCAGAGGUGAAAUUCUUGGAUUUAUUGAAGACUAACUACUGCGAAAGCAUUUGCCAAGGAUGUUUUCAUUAAUCAAGAACGAAAGUUAGGGGAUCGAAGACGAUCAGAUACCGUCGUAGUCUUAACCAUAAACUAUGCCGACUAGGGAUCGGAUGAUGUUAAUUUUUUAAUGACUCAUUCGGCGCCUUACGGGAAAC